rnacentral:rRNA from 1 species
AUUGAACGCUGGCGGCAUGCUUUACACAUGCAAGUCGAACGGUAACAGGUUAAGCUGACGAGUGGCGAACGGGUGAGCAAUGCAUCGGAACGUGCCCGAUCGUGGGGGAUAACGCAGCGAAAGCCGCGCUAAUACCGCAUACGAUCUGAGGAUGAAAGCGGGGGACCGUAAGGCCUCGCGCGAUCGGAGCGGCCGAUGUCAGAGUAGGUAGUUGGUGGGGUAAAGGCCCACCAAGCCGACGAUCUGUAGCUGGUGUGAGAGGACGACCAGCCACACUGGGACUGAGACACGGCGCAGACUCCUACGGGAGGCAGCAGUGGGGAAUUUUGGACAAUGGGCGAAAGCCUGAUCCAGCAAUGCCGCGUGCAGGAAGAAGGCCUUCGGGUUGUAAACUGCUUUUGUACGGAGCGAAAAGGUCCUUUCUAAUACAAGGGGCUCAUGACGGUACCGUAAGAAUAAGCACCGGCUAACUACGUGCCAGCCGCCGCAGUAACAC